rnacentral:lncRNA from 1 species
AGUUGACAGACACUGGAGUUAUGAAAAUAUGUCGCCAUUGUAAACAGCUUAGAGAAUUGUCAAUCAGUAAUUGUCAAUUACUCACAAAUAAAAGUUUGGAGAAAAUUUCUGAGGUAAGAUCUCUAAAAUAUGGAAACAGUUUCGAGAGAUGUAUAUAUCAGUCAGAUCAGAUAAAAAGGAGAUUGUGGGAAAAACAUUCUGACUUGUUUACUAUUAUAAACCUCAAAAUAAGAUGGAUCAAUCAUAUUUUCAAUUUCCUGUUAUGUCCAAAGUGAGAUGGUAGAUUGUGUUUUUAUUUUAUUUUUCAUAUAUGAAGAACUUGGUUGAUGUGAAUCGAGUUAGCUUGAUUUCAUAUAUUUGAAUGUUUUAUUUUUUUAUUGAUUGUUUACAAUGAUGUUCAUUACGAUUACCCCAUGCCUGCUUACAAGUUAAGUAAAGUUGAAAAAGGACAUAGAAUUAUUCUGCAUAUGUUUUAAGUAUAAAUACUGUUAUUUUUAAUACAGGAUUUGACAAAUAUCACCACCAUCUACAUAGAAAAGACAUUUGCCAAUGGUAUGUACAUAAAUGAACUGAUUGAAAAGGCCUGCAUCAAGUGUAAUGUUAUAAGAAAACAUAUUAAAACUCAUUUUUGAAAUAUUUUUUUUAUCUGAUAAUGUUUGAUUUCUUUAAAACUUUAAUUCAUCUCAGUCUGAAACUUUUUUGUGAUUAAUUGAAUUUUGGAGCAGUUUUCUCUCCCUCACAAAGUGAAAUAAAAUUCUUCCGCCGUUAUGUGUCUUUGUCACUUAAUGGAAAAUGAAUAAUUGAUUGUAGUAAUUGCUAAGCUUUAUCCAUGCAGAAGAAAAAAAUCAUGUUCAGUAUAGUUCAGUGACUGUCUAGUCCACAGUACAUUACGUUAUGCACAGCAAACUCAGGUUACAGAGCAAGGCUGGUGAUUUAAAUUAUAAUUAAUGUUUAUCUUUUCAGUGUCUAAGGAAGGACUAAUAAAGAUCGCCAAACUAUCUAAAUUA